rnacentral:lncRNA from 1 species
GUGCUAGGUAAAUGUAUGGUACUCUUCACAGCAUUUGUUUAUUAAGAAUUGAAAACACAGAGCACACCUAUAUGUCAGGAUGUAUAAGCACUGGUGGCCCUGACCAGCCUCACUUGGGGCUCCCCCUCCCCCUAACCCCUACCCUCCCAGCUCCCAUCCAUAAGCCCUAAUCCAGCUCAGCCUUGGGCUAUCCAGCAGAAGCAUUAGAUGCUAGUUGUGCUGCUAUGCCUGGCUGUGGGUUCAUUUUAUUCAUGCUGCAGUUCAUGUGCUGAUUUCUUCCCUUCACCUUGGUACUACCUCUUCACCACAGGCCUUCUCUUUGCCACCAGACUGCCCAGCCUGGCCUCAGGACCUGCCUCUUCGCCACGUGCCUGAGCAGUGAGCUUCAAUCUUGAUUAAACCUCGUUGUGGUUUUGGGGUUUGCCCUGCCCUGUUACCAGCCCGUGUGUCCCACUGGCUGCUGUCCUGCUGCUGAUAUCUCAUAUGGAAUUGCAACACACAGGGCUGUUAGAAGAAAACCCUCAGUGGAAAAAGAAAAAAAGAAAAGAAAGAAAGAAAGAAAAAGAAAGAAAAACAAAGAAGAGCUGUUUAAAUCCAGAACAAACAUGAAGUUGAAGGUCAGGGAUGCAUGGAAGGUGCUGAACCCACAGCAGGUAAGCCAAGCAGAGGAGGUAAGUAAAAGUAAAGAAUAUAUGCAUGAGACCAGUCAGCGGGGACAUGCUUGGGAUGGCUGUAGAGGCUGAGAAGAAACUCACUGCACUCUUAUGGUGAAUUUUCUCCUCAAGGUCACUUCUCUCAGCAGCUUGUGCCAGGGAAGGCAAUUUCCAGUGAUGAAUCUGGUCUGCAUAUGGCUAAACUUCAUUUAAGUCUCCAGCCUGUCUUACUACAGUCUCACUGCUAUACAUGUAGCAAUCUUCAGAUUUCGAUUUUUGAGAACUGAAUGUAACUUAGACCACACUCACCCUUAGCUUCUUCCUUUCUUCUGAUUCAAAAACAGCCACUGCACGUGAGGUUUUGGAAACAUCCUAAGGACAGUUGGAAGUAAGGAUAUAGUUACUAUGUGUACUUCAAUACAGAU